rnacentral:rRNA from 1 species
AAGCUCGUAGUUGAAUUUCGGGAUUGACACAUCGGUCGUGCCUUAAGGGGUAUGAACUGGUGUAGUCAAUUUCUCACCUUCUGGAGAACCACGAUGCCCUUAAUUGGGUGUCGCGGGGGACCAGGACCUUUACUUUGAAAAAAUUAGAGUGUUUAAAGCAGGCAUUUUGCUUGAAUACAUUAGCAUGGAAUAAUAAAAUAGGACGGCAUGAUUCUAUUUUGUUGGUUUCUAGGAUCACCGUAAUGAUUAAUAGGGAUAGUUGGG